UCAAAAACUGUUAAGAGUAUAAAAGAAAAUGCUUCUUUAAAAGAAAAAGAUUUUCAAAAACAACUCUCUUUUAAAGAAAAGGAAUUUGAAAAACUGAUUUUAGAAAAUGAGAAGUUGAAAGAGGAAAACAAAUUUUUUGGCAAGAGAAGCGCCGACAAGCCCGAGAGUUCUAGAUUUUGUUAUCAAAGAGCAUACAAACAUGUUAAGCUGAAAGAGGACGUCGUGUCAUUGCAAAAUCAGUGGAUAAUAGACUACAGGAGCAUGGCUGUCACAUAGGUUAGCAAUGUAGAAGAGAAGUAGCAUAUGGUAG
rnacentral:lncRNA from 1 species